AAACUUAAACUUAGAGAGAUCCAGCUGAAAGAGGCCAAGCACAUUGCUGAAGAUGCCGACCGCAAGUAUGAAGAGGUGGCCGGUAAACUGGUCAUCAUUGAGAGUGACCUGGAACGUGCAGAGGAGAGGGCUGAGCUCUCAGAAGGCCAAGUUCGACAGCUGGAAGAACAACUAAGAAUAAUGGAUCAGACCUUGAAAGCACUAAUGGCUGCCGAGGAUAAGUACUCACAGAAGGAGGACAAGUAUGAGGAGAUCAAAGUCCUCUCUGACAAGCUGAAGGAGGCUGAGACUCGGGCUGAGUUUGCUGAGAGGUCAGUAACCAAAUUGGAGAAAAGCAUUGAUGACUUAGAAGACGAGCUGUACGCUCAGAAACUGAAGUACAAGGCCAUCAGCGAGGAGCUGGACCUCGCUCUCAACGACAUGACUUCCAUGUAA